ACCUGCGGAAGGAUCAUUAGUGAUUGGCCUCACGGCCCUUUCAUGUCCAACCUCUGUGAACCGUGGCCUCCGGGCCGAUUUAACAACUGUGUGAUGAAUGUGAUCAUUGUAACAAACAAAACUUUCAACAACGGAUCUCUUGGCUCUCGCAUCGAUGAAGAACGCAGCGAAAUGCGAUAAGUAAUGUGAAUUGCAGAAUUCAGUGAAUCAUCGAAUCUUUGAACGCACCUUGCGCCUUUUGGUAUUCCGAAAGGCAUGCCUGUUUGAGUGUCAUGAAAACUUUCAACCCCCGGGUUUCCGGAGGGCUUGGACUUGGGCGCUGCCGCUUGGCUCGCCUCAAACGUGUUAGUGGGAUAAGCUCCCGGCCGACGUGAUAAGUUUCGUCAGCCUGCCGCGAUGCCCGCUCACAACCCCCAUCUUUUUGCUCUGACCUCAAAUCAGGUAGGACUACCCGCUGAACUUAAGCAUAUCAAUAA
rnacentral:rRNA from 1 species